AAAUAGUCUAGUCUGGCGUUCACGUAGGAGUCAGCGCACGCGCCGUUCCGUUCCAACAAGAAGAAGAGAAGCAGCGAGCGUCCCCCCUACAGCUCGUUCCACAACCGCUCAGGCGAGCAGCACCGUACAGCAGCAUCCGCCGGAGGAGGAGAUGGAGAUGGGGCCGGGUUCGCGGCGCCGCCGGUAGCUGGAGAUCCUGUGCGACGUCCUCCUCCCGCCGCUCGGCGUCUACCUCCGCCACGGCUGCUACUCCACGCGGUUCUGGAUCAGCGUGCCGUGCACCGUCCUCGGCUACUUCGCCUGCCUUUUCUUCGUCACUGAGGCCCCCUUCAUGGGCUACCUGCACGACUACCUCGCCCUCCUUGGUGCCUUGGUGCUACUCUGCCACUGCAGCAAGGGUUGUUACCUGCACAACCUGCUCGCCUUCCUUGGUGUCUUCCUCCUACUCGGCUACCACCCCAACAAGGACUACCUGCACAGCUACCUCGGCGCCGUCUGUGUCUUCGCCCUAUUCGUCCGCUACCCCAGCAACGGCGACAACGGAGAAGUCGACGAGGAGGACGACCCCGCCGCCGCCGCCUCCUACGUCUCCAUCGCCUAGCCUGACCGACCACCCAUCUCUCGCUAGUUCGAGGUUAGUUAACCAGACAAUAAAGCUACGAGUAGCUAGCAGAAGAUGUGGUUUCAUAAUCUGCCAAAUACUUGUCGAGAACUCGUGGUAUACAUCGACAAUGGAUCGUACUAAGUUGUCCCGAGCUCGUGAGUACUCCAUUAUGACGGUUUGUUUGCCAGGUUAAGUUGUACUGAAUAUUAUACAUUUUAUUACUACUA